UGGAAAGGACACCCCGUGGGCAGAGAGAGGUAACUCUGGCUUAGGGUCCAAAGCUGUAACUUUACCCCGGGGGCCCCGGAAACCGCAACCCUCCUCAGCCCCCUGCCAGCCACACGUGGACCACCAGACAUCCCUGUGGCAGAAAGAAUGAUGGCCCCCAAAGACGCCCAGGAACCUGUGAACAUAUUACUUUACACGACACUCAAGGGCUGAUGCGAUUAAGUUAAGGCUCUUCAGACGCGAUCUUUACUCCAGAGCAUCUCCAUGGGCCUGAUGCCAUCGCAAGGGUCCUUCUCAGAGGAAAGCAGAAGGGCCAGAGUCAGAGAGCAGGAAGCCAGCGGAAGCGGGGAGCAGAGGAACCAAAAAGCGCAUCACAGCCUCUGCGCCCGGAAGAUUCUCCCCGGGCACUUCCGGAGAGAACCAGCCCCGCCCAGCACUUUCAUUUCAGCCCCUCCAGACUCGUUGUGGACCUCUGACCUCCAGAAUUGUACGGGAAUACGUUUGUGUUGUUCUAAACCCCUACGUUUGCGGAAAUUUGUCACAGCAGCAACGGGAAGGUAGAGGCACCGCGAAGAUCAGCUGGGAACCGUACCACUGCAUAUGAAUUAUCCCGGCCAGCAUGGAAGCUUAUCAUGAGACAAGCCCGCCCAGGUAUGCCUGGUUUUCUGCAGUGCGGUGUCGUGGAAAGAGCCAUCUACAAGUUGCAUCUUUGUAACCUGAGUUUUAUCUGCACGACUCAGAGAAGACAGCUAAAGGAACCCUUUGGUAUGCAGCGAGGAUGGAAAAGCACAUGAAUUAACACCCGGGUGUGCAAGAGCCAGGCACAGAGUCUGCUGGUGUGGAACAUACGCCUGGCAGAGAAAGCACCAUGGCCUGGGAACCAAGUCACCUGGACUCGUGUCCCACCUCUGACACUGACUGAGCCCUCUUUGGGCCUCUGCCAAAUAAAAGGGCAGCACGAUCAAUUUCUAGGCCUUAGUUCCCAUUCUGACAUUAUAGGACUCUAUGCAUAUCAUGUACCCCAAAUGGCCCUCAUCCACACGAGAUGUAUGACCCUGCCUGAGGCAGUUUGCACGGAACAGAAAUCAGAACCGUAAGCCACAGAGCGGAAGCUCCAAUGGUAGGAUUUCCAGUGUUAUCAUUAUGGGAAGAAUGGGGACAAUGUUGAGGACUGAGGGCGAGGUCUGCCAGGUCACAGGUGGUGCUUGAUCUACACAAGGUCAAGGUGUUCAGUCUGGGCCCAUGGGUACCAGCAAGCCCCUGGCACCCGGCUUGGGCUCCAGGUAUAAACUUAGGGGGUCUGUGGGCUCACUGUGGGCUGACUAUUUAGUUUUAAUGCCCAAAACCAAUUUUAAAUAAAAUAAAGGAACCCCCUAAAUAUUCUAGAUGGGGCUUUCUUUUUUUUAGAGGGACAUUUCAAGACUAGUUUCACACAGGUUUAGCCGAAAGGGAAAUUAAACUCUACAUUUAAAUGGGAGAUUACGCACAAAGGAAUCCAUUACUUUCAAUAUUUCUCAGCAGGAGGGCUCAGAGUUAUUUAAAUAAGUUUAGAUAUUAAACCUAAAGUAGCCAUUAAAGCAAUGUGGAUUUGUUUGUCUGUUUUUUUUUUUCCCCCAGAAAUCUUUUUUUCCAGCUGACUGAAAAAAUCCAUUGCUUAACCAAUGGAGGAUAUUUUAAUGCAUUAAAAAAAAUCCAGGACUUUUUAAUAUAGCACUUCCUUCGAAUUUUUAAGUAGCAUCUUACGGUAAGUGUCAUCCUUUGGACAGAUUAACCAAAGCGCAUUCCCUUCCCCGCCCCCACCCUGGGCAGAACAGCGCUAAUAUAAACACCGACAUUAAACCAUAUUGGCUAUGGAAGAGGCUUUGAUUGUCAUUGAGAUUAUUUUAAAAGUUAUUUAGGCCCCCCUGUUCCAUCUCUGCAAACCACUGAGAAAACGUUGCGCCGGGUUUCUCUUUGCGACAUUUCUUUGGGGAUUCAUAAAUAUUGAUUGUACCGUAAAAAAAUUGAUGGAAUCUUGAAACAGACUGCAGUUGAGGCAGCUGGGGAAUUUACUCAAUUUUUCUCAAUCGCUGCAGUCUAUAAAAAGAGGAGAUUUUGCAAAUUGUUUCUCACCUUGUCUUUUUAGUAUUUAAUAGCUCUCAAUUCUAUAGCCUUCUGAACCAUGCGCUGGGCAUGUUUUCUAUCAAAACAGAAUCAGGCCUAUUCAAUGGGAAUUAAAAGGUGGGAGCCGGUUAUGAGUGGGUUAAACUCUGCCCUGUCCUCCACCUUCUCUCUUCCUCCCCUCCUGGCACCUUCUCUCAGUUUUCUGUGUCCUGCUGCUUUGGUCAUAGCCCUGCACCUAUCCCACAGAUGCCCACAUUGUGCCUUGGAUUAUCCCUUCUCCUCCUGUCCCAGGGCCAUGAUGGAAAUGAAGUCAAAGAAGCGAAUGUCAGAGGCUCGCUGUGGUCCUGCCUUUCACCACACUUGGUAGCUAUUAAACCACACUUCUAGCAAGAGAACCCUGCUCUCCCUUUAUACAGCAAAACUCUUCACCAUCCUGGCAUCCUGCCCUCCAUCUGGCUCCAAACUACCUCUUUAAUCUUAUUCUCACCACUGUCCUUCUGGAACCCUAGUGUCUUUGGUCCCCUCGUUGUCUGUCCCUCAAAACAACUACUACAGGCUUAUACUUUUCCAUCAUUCCUGGAAUGUUCUCCUUACCUUCCUUCUGUGGCGGGCAGAAUAAUGUCAUCCUGACCCUCUGCCCCCAUGUCUACAUUCUAAUUCCCAGAACCUGUGAAUCUGUUAAUUUAUGUGGUAAAGGGAAACUAAGGUUGCUAAUCAGCUGACCUUAAGAUAGAGGGAUUAUCCUGAAUUAUCCCUUGGGGCCCCGUGUAAUCACACGAUCUUUAAAAGUGGCAGGGGGAAUUGGAAGGAGGCAUCCGAGAGACGGCAGCAUGAGAAAGAGCCCCAACAUGGCUGGCUUUGGAGGAUGGGGCCAUGAGCCAAGGAAGGCAGGUGGCCUUUAUAAGCUAGAAAGGACGCCAUAAAAGGCAAGGAAACAGAGUCUCCCAUGGAACCUCUAGAAAGAACUGGUCCUGGAAACACCUUGAUUUUACCCAGGGAGACCUGUGCUGAAAUUCUGACCUGCAGAACUGAAAGAUAAUAUAUUCGUGCUGUUUGAAGCCACUAAGUUUGUGGUAAUCACCCUUAACCACACCUGCCAAGUCCAUUUAGCCACAUAGGGUAACAUUCACAGGUUCCGGGGAUUAGGGUGAUUCUAAUCUUUGGGGGUGAUUAUCCAGCCUGCCACACUGGAUAACAAGAGGUGGCUCUGCCAGCUCCUGGACGAGAACCUAAGGAUAGGGAGGGGAUAAGCCCAGUCAAUUGACAUUGAAAUUAUUGUUGGGUUCAAUGUUGGGAUUUCUCAUAGGAGGCAUAGGACAUGGCAUUGAUCUCAUUGAUCUUGAAUUAAUCAUCCAUGGAAGCAAGUAGAAACCCCUUUUGUCUUAGCCAUUGAAUUAUUUUUUCUCUUGUUACACUUUGCCAUCUGAGGUCCAGUGACUUGUCCAAGAUUCUACACAGCCGGUGAAUUUAUAAAUCACACAUGGCACCUGAAUGGGCCUGAGAUGAACCCUCCUUGGAGGUAUCUGUAGGCUCAAGAUGCUCUAAAUGAGGGGAGCCAGUCCUUGAUGACAAUCCCCUCUCUACUCCACAAGACACAAAGCAUGAAAACAUCAAAGCAUCAUGUAUCAAAUGUAUAUUAUGUGAGGAGCCCUGCGCUGGAGCCCCUGCCCUCAAGGAGCUUCCAGGCUGAUAAGUAGUUGGGAGCUGUCCACGGAGGGUUUCAAUACCAACCAUACGAUAUUAAGUAGUCUGAAAGUGUUGAGGAGAGAGGGCAUCCAUGCGGGAUGUGGAUGGUCUCAUGGUGGUGGUAGGGUUGGUAAGGGAAAUAAUGGGUAGCUAGAAAGGGGUGGAGUGGCUUGGAAGGAUACCCCAGGCAGAAAGAGCAGAAUAAUAAGCAAAGAAGCAGAGUAGAAAAUCUCAUGCCUAUGAGGGAAGCCAUGAGAAGAAGUGCAGUCCAGGGAUAAGAAGGUAGGGUUUCAGGUUUCUGGAUUUUCCUUAAUCAUGG